AGGGGGUCGCUCAUUGCGAAACAAUACAGAAGAGUCAAGUUGCUGUUGAGCCAACACUGUUGCAUUUAUCAAAAAGAAGGCCUCUGCACGGUCCUGCUACCCUGAAGCAAUGGAUCUUAGGCCCUUUCCUGAACGUGGGCAGAAUGUCUGGCAAGGUGGAGGCCCUCCUGCAGUCUUUGUUCAAAAAGAACAAAUUGUGAUUGUGGUGGAGAAACCAAGUGACCCCGUAGAAAUGAGCUGUCUGAAGAGAUUCUUUUGCUGCUGCUGCCUUUGGCUGUGUUCUGCAUUGGUUGAGCCUUAAUCUCCCAUAAACCAAAAACUUCAUGUAGCCUUGAUCUGCCUUUAAACCAGGCUCUGUUCCCAAUCUGGUGAAGAAUAAAUACCAUUUGUCAGUGGAUA